rnacentral:rRNA from 1 species
GACGAACGCUGGCGGCGCGCUUAACACAUGCAAGUCGAACGGAAAGGCCUGCUUUCCCUUGUGGAUUGCGGGUACUCGAGUGGCGAACGGGUGAGUAACACGUGAGUGAUCUGCCCCCAACUUGGGUAUAAGCCUGGGAAACUGGGUCUAAUUCCCGAUAGGACUGCAGGGUGGUGCCUGUGGUGGAAAACGAUUUUCUAGUGGUUGGGGAUGAGCUCGCGGCCUAUCAGCUUGUUGGUGGGGUAAUGGCCUACCAAGGCGGCGACGGGUAGCCGGCCUGAGAGGGUGGACGGCCACAUUAGGACUGAGAGACGGCCCAGACUCCUACGGGAGGCAGCAGUGGGGAAUAUUGCACAAUGGGCGGAAGCCUGAGGCAGCGACGCCGCGUGGGGGAUGACGGCCUUCGGGUUGUAAACUCCUUUCGACCGCGAGGAAGCCACCUGGUUGGAAGGGUGGUGACGGUAGUGGUAGAAGAAGCACCGGCUAACUACGUG